GACAGAGGGUGCAAACGUUGCUCGGAAUUACUGGGCGUAAAGCGCGUGUAGGCUGACCGGAAAGUCGGGCGUGAAAGCCCUGGGCUCAACCCAGGAACUGCACUCGAAACUCCCGGUCUAGAGUGGUGGAGAGGGAAGUGGAAUUCCCGGUGUAGCGGUGAAAUGCGUAGAUAUCGGAAGGAACACCAGUGGCGAAAGCGGCUUCCUGGUCCAGCACCGACGUUCAGGCACGAAAGCGUGGGGAGCAAACAGG
rnacentral:rRNA from 1 species